UCCAACAUUUAAAGUGUGCUUACCAAAUGCAGAGAAAUAGGCAUUCCAUAUGCUGUGAUGGUAGAAGGGUAAAGGGGGGCAGGAGGGUAGGAAAGAAUAGACAACAGGAAAGCUAAAAGAUAUAGAAGUUAUAGCCUUGCUUAAAUAAGCUUAAAAUCUAGGUGUUAGAAUUCAAGAUCCAGUGUAUCAAAUGACCUGACUGAAGAAGGCUUUCAAGUUACACAGCUGGCUCAAGAAAUUGCAGGGAACACUAGAGGCUACUUUCUAACUGAAUUAAGAAUGGUUGGUGCUUUGGCGCAGCUCCUUUGAUUGCAGAGGAGCAUGGACUUCAUCAAUCAGCAAAUGGAAAUGAAGGCUUUUUAAAGCAAAAUUUUAAAUCCUUCUCCUUCUCUUUCAAUUUGACAAACAUUUGUUGAAACACUACUAUGCAGCUGCCAUUAUCCUAAUCUAAACUGAAGAAUUGAAGAAUACAUGAUAGGGUUCCUGUGAAGAAACUAAAAAUUAAAAAAAAAAUUUAAGAUAGAAUAUAAAAAAUCAAGGGCUAACAAGGGACAUGAAGAAGAGAUCUGAGGGGAGCAGAGUCUUUGGAAAAACCUAUGGAGAGAGAAGGUUGAUUGACAAAUGACGGCAAUCCUGAUAGGGAAGACACCUUGAGUCAUGGCUUUGGAGAACAUCAAUGAAGAGGCUAUCCAGACUAAGUAUUAAGUAGCUUUAUGUUAAGCUAAACGGAGAUGCGGGUACCUGAUCCAGGUGAGCAAGAGGCAAAGUUCUUUAAAGGUCCUAGACGGCUCCUUCAAUUGUAAAACGGGGAUAAUAUUUAUUGCACAGCAUUGUUUCGAGAUAAAUUCACGUAAAAUGCUUAGUGUUGAGCACAUAGUAAGCACGUAAUAUAUAGUAGCUGUUACUAAAAUACUUACUACUAAUUCAGCUUUUUUCCUUUCCACUUCUUUCCGCGAGUCACCACAUUUUCGGCAGAGUUGGGGGUUUGUUCAGCACACUUCGCACAAGAUCGGCUUUUUAAAAUCAGAUGUAUAUUUUGAACUAUGAAGACUGCGGAAUUAUUAGAGUUGUGGUAGCUAGCUGUUUGGAAAGUGAUAAAAUGAGUCAAUAAGAUAUUUACACACCCCCAUGACACAGAAUGGUAUCUCCUUGCGAUCACCUCCACCCCCCUCCAACAGAGAAUAGUACAUUCCACAUAUCUGCUGGAAAGAGCAGUGCAAGAGUGAACUGAGGGCUUUCUCUUCUCCCGGAAGCAAUUUUUCUCUAGAACCGGAAACAGUUGCCGUUUCAAGGGAGGUGGGACUGGGCGGGUCAGGCCGCGGCGGCUGACGGCGGGGGAGGAGCCGGGUCCACUGCCGGGUGGAGGGGUAAGGCGAGUGUCCUUAUCCUAGCAAUUGGUGCUCAGGCCUGUGAGCUAGUUGGAGUCGCGGCGGCGGGAACGACUGGGCCGAGCGGAGGAAGACAUGUUGCUUUUCGUGGAGCAUUUAUGGGGUUAAGUGGCAUGGGAUUUCUGUUUCUGAUAGUAAAUAGGUAAGUAUAACAAAAGGUUAUGUAUGUCCAAAGAGGUGGUUUUGCCAUGUUUAUGGUGACUUUUUCCUGAUUCUUGGUUCUGUUACCUUAGAACUGUUGUUUCUUAGGACUGGAAGAUACCAUUUUGACAAGAAUUUUUUUAUUUUUUUAAAUUUAUUUUUUGACAAGAAUUUGAUGUGUCCCUUUUUUCCUUUCUAUUAUUUCUCUCUAGAUAGAAUUUGGCAUUAAAUGGGCUAAUAAUCAGGACUUCUUUUGGCUUAUUUGGGGAUUACAUAUAUUGCUUAGCAGUAGGGAUGGUGUUUGAUGUGUUAGUUUUACAGAUAGUUUGGGUGUUUUUGUUGAGUAUCUGUGUGUUUCCAUUAUCAUGUGUAUGUUGGCAAAUAGUUCUAGCAUGCACUUGGACAAUUUAUAUCCUUUAAUAGAUACUUUAUGCAACCCUGUAACCUCAAGGGCUUCUAAUACUGUGGAAGAGAUAAGGAUUUUAAUGGAGGUCUUCGUUAAACCUUAAAAGAUGAAUAAAACUUGGUUAUCUAAAAUUUAAAUGAAAAAUAGAUUUGUUCUAGUUAAACUGACAUAGAGUCUGUCAGCCAUCAGUUAGCUCAUUAGCUUACAAAGAGACAUCACUUUGGAGAUUCUAAGGAUUUUAGGAGUUCUAUGCCAGGUAAUGGGGUGGAAGGCCAAAUAUAUAUUUUAUAAUAUCACAGAUAGUAACUUGCCUUAUUUUUUUCCCCAAGUUUUUGUGAACAUUUUC